AGUGAACGCUGGCGGUAGGCCUAACACAUGCAAGUCGAACGGCAGCACAGUAAGAGCUUGCUCUUACGGGUGGCGAGUGGCGGACGGGUGAGGAAUACAUCGGAAUCUACUUUUUCGUGGGGGAUAACGUAGGGAAACUUACGCUAAUACCGUAUACGACCUACGGGUGAAAGCAGGGGAUCUUCGGACCUUGCGCGAUUGAAUGAGCCGAUGUCGGAUUAGCUAGUUGGCGGGGUAAAGGCCCACCAAGGCGACGAUCCGUAGCUGGUCUGAGAGGAUGAUCGGCCACACUGGAACUGAGACACGGUCCAGACUCCUACGGGAGGCAGCAGUGGGGAAUAUUGGACAAUGGGGGCAAGCCUGAUCCAGCCAUACCGCGUGGGUGAAGAAGGCCUUCGGGUUGUAAAGCCCUUUUGUUGGGAAAGAAAAGCAGCAGGUUAAUACCCCGCUGUUCUGACGGUACCCAAAGAAUAAGCACCGGCUAACUUCGUG
rnacentral:rRNA from 1 species